UGGAUCCAGACUUUGAUUAUGGCUCAGGAUGAACGCUGGCGGCGUGCCUAAUACAUGCAAGUCGAACGAAACUUCUUUAUCACCGAGUGCUUGCACUCACCGAUAAAGAGUUGAGUGGCGAACGGGUGAGUAACACGUGGGCAACCUGCCCAAAAGAGGGGGAUAACACUUGGAAACAGGUGCUAAUACCGCAUAACCAUAGUUACCGCAUGGUAACUAUGUAAAAGGUGGCUAUGCUACCGCUUUUGGAUGGGCCCGCGGCGCAUUAGCUAGUUGGUGGGGUAGAGGCUUACCAAGGCAAUGAUGCGUAGCCGAACUGAGAGGUUGAUCGGCCACAUUGGGACUGAGACACGGCCCAAACUCCUACGGGAGGCAGCAGUAGGGAAUCUUCCACAAUGGGCGAGAGCCUGAUGGAGCAACGCCGCGUGGGUGAAGAAGGUCUUCGGAUCGUAAAACCCUGUUGUUAGAGAAGAAAGUACGUGAGAGUAACUGUUCACGUUUCGACGGUAUCUAACCAGAAAGCCACGGCUAACUACGUGCCAGCAGCCGCGGUAAUACGUAGGUGGCAAGCGUUAUCCGGAUUUAUUGGGCGUAAAGGGAACGCAGGCGGUCUUUUAAGUCUGAUGUGAAAGCCUUCGGCUUAACCGGAGUAGUGCAUUGGAAACUGGGAGACUUGAGUGCAGAAGAGGAGAGUGGAACUCCAUGUGUAGCGGUGAAAUGCGUAGAUAUAUGGAAGAACACCAGUGGUGAAAGCGGCUCUCUGGUCUGUAACUGACGCUGAGGUUCGAAAGCGUGGGUAGCAAACAGGAUUAGAUACCCUGGUAGUCCACGCCGUAAACGAUGAAUGCUAAGUGUUGGAGGGUUUCCGCCCUUCAGUGCUGCAGCUAACGCAAUAAGCAUUCCGCCUGGGGAGUACGACCGCAAGGUUGCAACUCAAAUGAAUUGACGGA
rnacentral:rRNA from 1 species